AGGUGUCUGCACUAGACAGUCAUAUAGCUGCUUUGACAGAAGAUGGUAGAGUGUUCAUCUAUGGAUCCUUCAGGGAUAAUAAUGGUGCUAUCGGUUUGUUGGAGCCCAUGAAGAAGAGUAAUGUUGCUUUGAUGUACCUGUCAUCAAAAUUGCCUUUAGGAAAUGAUCAUCUUGUAAUGCUUACCUCAGAUGGUGACAUUUACACCUCAGGUUGUGGAGAGCAGGGUCAGCUGGGCCAUGUUCCCGAGAGCUUUACUA